AGGGAAUAUUGCGCAAUGGAGGGAACUCUGACGCAGCGACGCCGCGUGAGCGAUGAAGGUCUUCGGAUCGUAAAGCUCUGUCCUUGGGGAAGAAGGUCUUCGGACUUGACGGUACCUAAGGAGGAAGCCCCGGCUAACUACGUGCCAGCAGCCGCGGUAAUACGUAGGGGGCAAGCGUUGUCCGGAAUUAUUGGGCGUAAAGGGUGCGUAGGCGGCCUUUUAAGUCAGAUGUGAAAGCCCACGGCUUAACCGUGGGACUGCAUUUGAAACUGGAGGGCUUGAGUAUCGGAGAGGGUAGUGGAAUUCCCAGUGUAGCGGUGGAAUGCGUAGAUAUUGGGAGGAACACCAGUGGCGAAGGCGACUACCUGGACGAAAACUGACGCUGAGGCACGAAAGCUAGGGGAGCAAAC
rnacentral:rRNA from 1 species